rnacentral:lncRNA from 1 species
CAUGGAUUGCCAGUAGAUUUUCAUUUUCUUUUAAGAGAUAUGAAAUCUUACGAGAUUAUAAUAGGACCUAAGAUGGGUGUGUCGCUUGGUCAUCGAUAUACUUCAUAAGAUCAGAGUGGUAUGAAGUGUAGAUUUUUAUUGUUAUAUAUUUGUAUAUGAAAACUGCACGUAUCUUACUGAGUGUUUUCAAAUACUCCCUUACAAAUUGACAAGUUAGUUCGAAUCGAUUAGAACUGUGGCAAAUUGGUGAUGCGGACUGCCAAGGGAUCCAAAGGAAAAGGAAAAUAAAUAUUUAGUUAUUCUUUUUAUGUCUCUAAAUUAUUUGUCAGUUUUAUUUGUUCAAAGACUCGUUUGUUUAUUUUAAAUUAAUAUUUAUGGUUGAUAAUAAAGAAUUUCUUUUAUUUGAGUCGUUCCGCAAUUAUUAAAAAGAAAAUUAAGUUUUUCGUAACACUGCAGCUUCUAUAAAAAUUUGGGGCGUUACACAAGGUAACCAUGUGGACUAGGUUUUGGGCUUAUCGUAAGAGAAACACCUCAAAUAUGCCUCCACGCAUCUAUUUACCACUUAUGUUCGCCCGUCGGUUCGAGGAUGGUAAGCUAUUCUACACUGGAG